GGCCAUUUAGCUCAGCUGGCUAGAGCGUUCGAUUCACAUUCGAAAGGUCAGGGGUUCGAGUCCCUUAAUGGCCA
rnacentral:tRNA from 2 species